rnacentral:rRNA from 1 species
CCUACGGGUGGCUGCAGUGAGGAAUAUUGGUCAAUGGGCUUACGCCUGAACCAGCCAAGUCGCGUGAGGGAAGACUGCCCUAUGGGUUGUAAACCUCUUUUGUCAGGGAGCAACGCCGGCUACGUGUAGCCGUACUGAGAGUACCUGAAGAAAAAGCAUCGGCUAACUCCGUGCCAGCAGCCGCGGUAAUACGGAGGAUGCGAGCGUUAUCCGGAUUUAUUGGGUUAAAAGGGUGCGUAGGCGGAAUUCCAAGUCCGCGGUAAAAUCGCGGGGCUCAACCUCUUCGUGCCGUUGAAACUGGUUUUCUUGAGUGAGCGAGAAGUAUGCGGAAUGCGUGGUGUAGCGGUGACAUGCAUAGAUAGCACGCAGAACUCCGAUUGCGAAGGCAGCAUACCGGCGCUCAACUGACGCUCAUGCACGAAAGUGUGGGUAUCGAACAGGAUUAGAUACCCGAGUAGUC